GACGAACGCUGGCGGCGUGCUUAACACAUGCAAGUCGAACGGAAAGGCCCUGCUUUUGUGGGGUGCUCGAGUGGCGAACGGGUGAGUAACACGUGAGUAACCUGCCCUUGACUUUGGGAUAACUUCAGGAAACUGGGGCUAAUACCGGAUCGGAGCUCCUGCUGCAUGGUGGGGGUUGGAAAGUUUCGGUGGUUGGGGAUGGACUCGCGGCUUAUCAGCUUGUUGGUGGGGCCGUGGCUUACCAAGGCUUUGAGGGGUAGCCGGCCUGAGAUGGUGACCGGCCACGUAGGGGAUUAGAUACGGCCCAGUGGGCACCGGGAGGCAGCAGUGGGGAGUGUUGCACGAGGCGGGGAAGAGUGAGGCAGCACCGCCGCGUGCUGGAUGACGGCCUGCGGGUGGUGAAGGCCAGUCGCCUGUGACGAAGGGGGAGGGACGGUAAUUGGUAGAACAACAAGGGGUAACGACAUG
rnacentral:rRNA from 1 species